rnacentral:lncRNA from 1 species
AAAAGGUGUUUUCGUGAAGCAAAUAUGAGUCAUGGAAUGUGAAAGCAGAGGUACCUUGUGGAUCCAAUUCUACGAGUUUUUAAACUUCCGCACUCAAUUUUCCGAAGUCAUGAUGGGCUAUUGUUAUGAUUCUUGAUUGUCACUGUAAAUCCAUAUGCUAUUGAACAGAUUGUUUUACGUUUGAAUGUUAAUUAUCAUAAAGUUAUCAGCAAAAGCUUUUGCCUUUCAAACGUGACAUGAAGCACUGCAUAGGCUAAUGAACAGAGUUCCUGAAUGCUAUUGAUCAAGCUUCUCUUGUAUUUUGGAUUUUAACUUGCUCACAUUCCAAGAGCUAGAGAUUUGAGUCCUGCUGCUCAUUGUUUUUCUUUUUUUUUUUGGCUUAACAUUUUGAUGAACAACUAAUUCUAGAAGUUGUAUAAUUUUAGGGGGAGGAAACUUGUUAAUUGUUAGAUUCUUUCAUUUAAAAGUAUUACAGUUUUUUGUCUACAAAGGUAAAAAAAAGCUGAAUAUUAAAAGUUAUGGUUAAAAUUCAAAUAUAAACCAAAACCAACUAAUCUUAUGCUUCUACAACAAGAAACUUUUCCAUUACCAAACAACUGUUGAAAAAAAGCCAUUGUUAUUACCGGACAAGGAUCUAUCUUGAUCACAGUUUAGAUCAGCUAAUGAUAAUCUUCAGACUCUCAUCAGUCGCACCGCGAAUUUCCCAGUCAAAUCACUACGCAACUCUCUCACCUGCGGCAACCAUCGCCGGAGCUCUUCAAGAACACAUCAACUCUCCGUCCCCAAACUCCGGGAAGAAGAUUCACGCCGACAUAAUCAAAACUGGGUUUAGACCAAAUCUAAACAUAUCCAUCAAACUACUUAUCUUACAUCUAAAAUGCGGAUGCAUGACUUACGCACGCCAAGUGUUCGACGAAUUGCCCAAACCAACGCUAUCGGCUUACAACUACUUGAUCAGUGGCUACCUGAAGCAAGGAUUGAUAAAGCAAUGUCUCCUCCUAGUCCAACGCAUGGCAUUCUCUGGUGAAAACGCAGACGGGUAUACGCUCUCCAUGGUUCUAAAGGCAUCAUCAUCAUCAUCUACUAGUCUUGGUAGCUUAUGCAGGCUUGUCCACGCCCGGAUUAUAAAAGGCCACGUUGAGCUAGACGAUGUGUUGGUGACUGCGCUUGUUGAUGCUUAUGUCAAGAGCGGGAAGCUGGAGUGUGCGAGGACAGUGUUCGAAACGAUGAAAGACGAGAGUGUGGUGUGUUCCACAUCGAUGAUCUCGGGUUACAUGAACCAAGGCCUCGUGGAGGAUGCUGAAGAGAUUUUUGAUAAGACUAGAGUGAAGGAUAUUGUAGUUUACAACGCUAUGGUCGAAGGUUUGAGCAGAACAGGUGAGACUGCUAAAAGAGCUGUUGAGAUGUAUGUCUUAAUGCAGCGGGCAGGUUUCCAUCCGAAUAUCUCGUCAUUCGCUAGCGUGAUCGGCGCGUGUUCGGUUCUGACCGCGCGUGAAGUUGGUAUGCAGGUGCACGGUCAGGUUAUGAAGAGUGGUGUGUAUACGCAUAUCAAAAUGGGGAGCUCUUUGUUGGAUAUGUAUGCAAAGUGCGGUGGGAUUGAUGAUGCGAGGAAGGUUUUUGAUCAGAUGAAAGAGAGGAACGUGUUUUCUUGGACUUCGAUGAUUGAUGGGUAUGGAAAGAACGGGAACCCUGAGGAAGCGCUUGAGCUCUUCGCUAAGAUGAAGGAAGUGAAUAUAGCACCUAACUAUGUAACCUUUCUUGGAGCUCUCUCUGCGUGUUCGCAUUCUGGUUUGGUUGAGAAUGGCUAUGAGGUUUUUGAGAGCAUGCAGAGAGAUUACUCUAUGAGGCCGAAGAUGGAGCACUAUGCUUGCAUGGUUGAUCUCAUGGGACGGGCUGGAGAUUUGAGUAAAGCUUUGGAGUUUGUUAGGGCGAUGCCGGAAAGGCCUAACUCUGAUGUUUGGGCUGCUCUUCUUAGCUCUUGUAGACUGCAUGGGAAUGUUGACAUUGCAAGCGAAGCUGCGGAUGAGCUUUUUAAACUGAAUGCGGAUAAAAGACCUGGGGCUUAAGUUUUGGCGGGAAAAUUCGGUUCUCCAGUUUUGGCGGGAAAAUUGUAUUUUUCGGUUUUGGCGGAAAAAUUGUAUUUUUCGGUUUUGGCGAGAAAAUGUGUUUUUUUUCGGGUUUGGCGAGAAAAUGCUUUGUUUCCGGUUUUGGCUGGUAAAUGCUUUUUGCGGUUUUGGCCGGAAAAUGCUUUUGGAGUUUUGGCGGGAAUAUGCGUUUUUUGGGUUUUGGUCGAAAACUGUGGUUUUACUGGUUUAGCUGAAAAAUAUAUUUUAAUGAAAAUGUGUGUUUUAUGUUUUUUGCGGAAAAAUGCAUCUUGCGGUUUUGGCGGGAAAUUGUGUUUUUCGUUUUUGCGAGAAAAUGUAUUUUCUGGUUUUGGCGGAAAAAUGUAUUUGCAAAAAAAUAAGAUUGACGGUUUGAAAAUAUUAUUUUGAUUUUAAAA